rnacentral:rRNA from 1 species
ACGGAAGGCAGCAGUGGGGAAUAUUGGUCAAUGGGGGAAACCCUGAACCAGCAACGCCGCGUGAAGGAAGAAGGCUUUCGGGUUGUAAACUUCUUUGACCAGGGACGAUAGUGACGGUACCUGGAAAACAAGCUCCGGCUAACUACGUGCCAGCAGCCGCGGUAAUACGUAGGGAGCGAGCGUUGUCCGGAUUUACUGGGUGUAAAGGGCGCGUAGGCGGGAAUGCAAGUCAGAUGUGAAAUCUAUGGGCUUAACCCAUAAACUGCAUUUGAAACUGUAUUUCUUGAGUGAUGGAGAGGCAGGCGGAAUUCCUCGUGUAGCGGUGAAAUGCGUAGAUAUGAGGAGGAACACCAGUGGCGAAGGCGGCCUGCUGGACAUUAACUGACGCUGAGGCGCGAAAGCGUGGGGAGCAAACAGGAUUAGAUACCCUGGUA